rnacentral:misc_RNA from 1 species
UCCGGUUUGUCACCGGCAGUCUCCUUAGAGUUCCCGACAUCACUCGCUGGCAACUAAGGACAAGGGUUGCGCUCGUUGCGGGACUUAACCCAACAUCUCACGACACGAGCUGACGACAGCCAUGCAGCACCUGUGUCACGGUUCCCGAAGGCACCCCCCGAUCUCUCAGGGGUUCCGUGCAUGUCAAGGCCAGGUAAGGUUCUUCGCGUUGCGUCGAAUUAAACCACAUGCUCCACCGCUUGUGCGGGCCCCCGUCAGUUCAUUUGAGUUUUAACCUUGCGGCCGUACUCCCCAGGCGGUCUACUUAGUGCGUUAGCUGCGCCACCAAAACCUCAAGGGUCCCGACGGCUAGUAGACAUCGUUUACAGCGUGGACUAC